rnacentral:lncRNA from 1 species
AUGCUUUUUAAAAACAAACAAACAACCCCCCCAACAAAGCUUAAAAAUACACAUUUGGACUCUGUAAAGAAGACCGACAUGGACAUGUAUACGAACCGCAGAGGGAAAGUGGUCCUUCUGGAAGAAGAUCACUGGACGUCAGUAACUCCAAAUCAGUUCCUCGGCGCAUUUGCGCCAUUUCCGCGUUUCGCCUGGAUUCAUCCAAACGCACCGAGGGACAGCUAUGAUGUGGUGUGCGAAAUCGUCUGGAGCAAAGCUACCCAGGUGAAACCUGGAAGAGGUCAAAGUUCACUGGAAAUCCAAGGGAGUAAAGACGACACUCCCUCAGUCAACAAGUCAAGUCACAGGGCUGAGAAGCAGCAGGAAGACACAGAUGAUUACACGCACUAUGAGGAGGACAAGAAGCAAUACCACACUGACUUCACCCUUCCUUGCCCUUAUCUCUUGGGCCGCAGACAUCACGGCCUAUCCAAGCCCGCAAGGGUGCUGAGCCCUGUGCUGGAAGUGGAGAUGAGGCAAAUUAAGGAAGAGGCGGGUGGAAACAGAAACUCGUCCUGUCGGGAGAGGGAUGUGCAAGACAAACAAAGGAGUGUUGAAAACUCUCUUCAGAAGAUGCAGGUCUCUCAAUCCAGCAGAGCAGGCACACAGAGCUCUGUACCUGCACCUCAACAUCUGGUGACAAAUCCUGUCUGCUUUGAAGGCCACACCCAACACCUGCCAGACAGAGAAGAUUCUCUACACCCUUUUAAACUACCCGGGGAUGAAUGUGGAAGCGAGAAAGAGCAGAAUGCAAGUAGGGGCUCAGAAAGCUACUCUAGUGAUGAUAGUGAUGCUGUUAGUCUACCUGGGGUGCGAAGUUGUGCCAAUGACAACAGCAAUAAUGACUCAGUGGUUAGUGCAAAAGAGGUGAAGAAAAAGGAAAUUCCAAGCUCGUCUGUUGAGCUGAGCUGCGACAAUGAGCAGGAUUCCUUUUUUACAGCUGAUGAAGACUUUCCUGCUCUCACCACCAUCAACGCUGGCAUCCCGCUAUCUCUCACAGGGCCGCCAGCCUUGGGGAAGAUAAAAGGCCAGUGGGAGAUUCCCCUUUCAUUCCACCCACAUGACAUACCCACUGUCACUUUGGCAAGUGGCGUGAAUGACCCUGUGCAGGCUUCCAUCCAAGGCAAACCAGAAGCACCUGAGGCAAACUCAAAAACCAAAGCACCACCAGCAGUCCCAGUGCAGAACGAGGCUUAUGACCUCUUGGCCGACUUCCCAGCCCUCCAGCCCCCAAAGAACCCUUUAGCGCUUGGUGAAUUGCGUCACAGGAAUCCCAAGACCAACGUUUCAAAGGGGAAAGGAGUUCUCACUCCUGCUCCAAGCCACUGCCAAAGCUCUAGGGGUUCCCAUGAGAGGAGAUUGGAAAAUUCGCCCCACGAGGUCUCCUCCAUCUGUGCAGGAGAUCAGAAAUCUGCUCUGGACCUUCAAACAUUUGGCACGGUCAGCCAUCGCAACUCUUCCACCAUCAGCUGUGAGCAACGGAAGGCCAACAAGCAGCCGCCGCCUAGAGUUGCAGGUGCAGAUGGCGUGGGUGUCAGUGCCAGGUCCUGGGCUAACGCUGCCAAGGCAGGCAUGAAGCAAGCAGCUGCCCCUCAGGAGAAAGCCAGACCUUGUACCUUUCAGCAGAUAGUUACCAUUAACAAAGCCAAAGCUGAAUAUGGUGUCACUCAAAAAAUCAACAAGAAAGCAACAGUUUUCCACCCAGGAUCAAAUCAGAAGGCGAUAACCUUGAAACAGUGCUGAUUUCACCCCUGCAACCAAAUCCACUUAGUUUGCAACCCUCCUGGCUAUCAGCAUUUUGGAGCCCAGCCGCAUCAAGCCAACUAUCCUCCAGGAUUCAGCUGUCCCCGUUUUCCUUUCCAACAG